ACUCCCCUGUCGUGUCCGAGGAAGCCGUAGAUUCCUUGAACCAAUAACGUCGCAAGACACGGUUGCUGCCCCACAGCCCGCUGGUGUGCCCGCCCCCUGUGGGUGAGCCUGAAAGCGGCGGAACGCAACCUCCCUGAACCUCCGGUUCAGGAUGCCCGGCGGAGCCGGCACAGACGGGGGUCUU
rnacentral:other from 1 species